AGAGUUUGAUCAUGGCUCAGAACGAACGCUGGCGGCAGGCUUAACACAUGCAAGUCGAACGCAUCACCUUCGGGUGGUGAGUGGCAGACGGGUGAGUAACGCGUGGGAACGUACCCUUUGGUUCGGGAUAACCCAGGGAAACUUGGGCUAAUACCGGAUGCACCGGAAACGGGAAAGAUUUAUCGCCGAAGGAUCGGCCCGCGUCGGAUUAGCUAGUUGGUGGGGUAACGGCCUACCAAGGCGACGAUCCGUAGCUGGUCUGAGAGGAUGAUCAGCCACACUGGGACUGAGACACGGCCCAGACUCCUACGGGAGGCAGCAGUGGGGAAUAUUGGACAAUGGGCGCAAGCCUGAUCCAGCCAUGCCGCGUGAGUGAAGAAGGCCUUAGGGUUGUAAAGCUCUUUCAGCGGGGACGAUAAUGACGGUACCCGCAGAAGAAGCCCCGGCUAACUUCGUGCCAGCAGCCGCGGUAAUACGAAGGGGGCUAGCGUUGUUCGGAAUUACUGGGCGUAAAGCGCGCGUAGGCGGAUAUUUAAGUCAGGGGUGAAAUCCCAGGGCUCAACCCUGGAACUGCCUUUGAUACUGGGUAUCUGGAGUUCGGGAGAGGUGAGUGGAAUUCCGAGUGUAGAGGUGAAAUUCGUAGAUAUUCGGAGGAACACCAGAAGCGAAGGCGGCUCACUGGCCCGAUACUGACGCUGAGGCGCGAAAGCGUGGGGAGCAAACAGGAUUAGAUACCCUGGUAGUCC
rnacentral:rRNA from 2 species